GGAGAGGUGCGAGAGCGGCUGAAUCGGGCUGCCUGCUAAGCAGUUAAUCCGGGUGACCGGGUUCGAGGGUUCGAAUCCCUCCCUCUCCGCCA
rnacentral:tRNA from 1 species